rnacentral:rRNA from 1 species
UACGUAGGGUGCAAGCGUUGUCCGGAAUUAUUGGGCGUAAAGAGCUCGUAGGCGGUUUGUCGCGUCUGCUGUGAAAACUCGGGGCUUAACCCCGGGCCUGCAGUGGGUACGGGCAGACUAGAGUGCGGUAGGGGAGACUGGAAUUCCUGGUGUAGCGGUGAAAUGCGCAGAUAUCAGGAGGAACACCGGUGGCGAAGGCGGGUCUCUGGGCCGUAACUGACUGCGUGAGGAGCGAAAGCGUGGGGAGCAAACAGG